AGACAGAAAUUUACAGACAAAAAGGUUCAAUUGUUUGCUUUUUUUUUUUAGUAUACAGAAAUGUGUACAUAUACUCGCUUUUAUGCAUGUACUCCAUUUCAUUUAUCUGAUAUAGGAAGACCAAGAUAUAUAUAUAUAUAUGCCGUACACGACUUACUAUAGGUGUUGUUAAUUAUUGAUGAAAAGUUGUUCUGGUAUUGCAACUACAAGACCAACCAGCAACAGCCGGUCGAAGGCAAGGAUCUCUUAGCUAGUAUAUGGAAACCGCAACAACGAUGAUAAAGAUGAAGACGAUCAUGACAUGGUUAUGCCCGGUUUUAGGUUUCACCCUACAGAGGAAGAACUUAUCGAAUUGUAUCUUCAUCGUAAAGUUGAAGGGAAGCGAUUUAAUAUAUUGAACUAACAACCUUUCUCGAUCUGUAUCAGCAUGACCCUUGGGAAUUUCCAGAGCAGCAAUCGGAGAAAAGGAAUGUUUUUUCUCUGUGCCUAGAGAUCGAGAGUAUAGGAAUGGUGAUAGACCGAACCGCGUAACCCCUUCUGGAUACUGGAAGGUUACUGGUGACGAUCGAAUGAUUAGAAAUGAAAGUGGUAGGUCAAUUGGUUAAUUGGUAAGGCACCUAGAGGUAUCAGAACAAGUUGGAUCAUGAACGAGUAUCGAUUACCACAAGACAAGACUGAUCGAUACCAAAAUAAGGUAUACUUCUAGCAUGUACAUACUCACGUGAAGUUGUAUAUAAACCAUAUAUAUUAAUAUGCCCAAUUGUCUUAUCAUCAUUUUUUUAAACAAUUUGAUUACUCACGUGAAGACGAAGUUGUACAUAAACCAUAUAAAUUAAUAUGCCCAAUUGUCUUAUC